GGGGUAAUCUUGUAAAUUGGUGAACACUUGGGCACUAAGUCAGCUGAGCCCAAACCGGCUUUCUGCGCGCUUCACUGUCGAUCAAUGUAACGAUUUAAGAUCGAUCGAUUAUUCCUCUUCAAUAUCGACCGAUGAUCGUGUUCGAUGGUCAUCUCGGGUGCUUACUCCAAAUCUUCAAAAUGCUCCAAAAUCAUCACUUUCCUCCAAAUCACUCAUGAUCCUAUAAAUAUACUAAAUAGACUAUAUAUGG
rnacentral:lncRNA from 1 species